AUUUCGAGCAUUUGGCGCCUGAAGGUUUCAGUUUUGAAGAGAGUUGUUCGUGGCAUGGCGAACACUUUAUAGUUAAAGCGAUGGUUAUAAGUUAAAAAUCAGCUUUGCAAAGCUCCAGGGACCUUGCGCGAUGGCCAACAACAAAAUUGUGAAUGGUAUCGCAAGCCAGGCGGCCGAGGCGAAAAAAAGAAUGACGAAAGAGGACGACGAAGGCAAACUCUUCGUGGGCGGACUCAGCUACGAAACCACUAAAGAAACCUUGACAGAUUAUUUUAAUACUUUUGGUGAAGUUGUCGGUGUUGAAAUAAAAAUGGACGCUUUGACGGGUCGCUCCAGAGGCUUCGCAUUUGUGCAAUUCAAGGAUCCGAAACAAGCAAACGCGGUCCUGCAGCAUGGAGGUCCACAUUUAUUAGAUGGGAAAACAGUUGAUCCUAAGCCAGCAGCACCAAUAAAUAAGCCACCUCAUUUAAGAGUAAAGAAAAUAUUUGUUGGAGGACUAAAACCAGAGACCACUGAUCAACAGAUUAGAGACUAUUUUGGAUCAACUUACGCACCGGUUAGAGACAUUGAAUAUGUCACAGAACAUUCAACCAACAAGAGAAGAGGUUUCUGUUUUGUUUCCUUCGAUUCAGAAGACACAGUAGACAAGAUUUGUGAAUUACAGUUCCAUCAUAUUGAUGGUAAUAAGGUUGAAGUAAAAAGAGCUCUUCCAAAAGAAGUUCAACAGCAGCAAGCUGCCCUUCGUGCUGCAGUAGCAGGAAGAGGAAUGAUCCCAGCAAUUGCCACAGCUUUUGGAGUUGUGCCUGGAAGAGGUAGACCAGCUGCAGGUAUAAGCAGAGGUCCAUUCCGUGCUGGUGCAGCAGCCGGAACUGCUGGGCUUAGUCUCACAGCUGCUGCUGCUGCUGCUUAUAACCCGACGUAUGCUGCAGCUGCCCUUUAUGGAGCACUUGGCACAGGUGCAGCCUAUGACACUGUCUACCCCACUUCUUAUGGAGGUAUACCAGGCUAUCCAGGGUACUCCCCUGCAACGUUUCCCACCCCAGCCACGGGGUACCCUACUAGUGGGUAUGAAUUACAUCUCGCAGCCAGCAGAGAUGCACGAUAUCCAGCAGGGAAGUGGUGUCGUGGACACAGAUGACAGUGGUGGCACUUCCUUGAACACUUUUCGAUGAUAUUAAAGAAGGGUGCCAGAUGGGCGCCCCAGUGGCUUUGGACCAAUGAUGUCAUACACGAGAACAACCUUCCAUCCAUAUGCUCGUUAGCUAAAUUAUGUGACUC
rnacentral:misc_RNA from 1 species